rnacentral:rRNA from 1 species
UACGGAGGGUGCGAACGUUGUUCGGAAUCACUGGGCUUAAAGGGCGCGUAGGCGGGCCGGACGGUCCGGGGUGAAAUCCCCCCGCUCAACGGGGGAACGGCCCCGGAUACCGCCGGCCUCGAGGGGGAUAGGGGUCUGCGGAACUACCGGUGGAGCGGUGAAAUGUGUUGAUAUCGGUGGGAACGCCAGUGGCGAAAGCGGCAGACUUGACCCUUCCUGACGCUGAGUGCGCGAAAGCUAGGGGAGCAAACGGG